GGGGGGGGGGGGGGGGGGGGGGGGAGGGGGGGGGGGAAGGGGAAGGGGCCGGCGGGUGCUGACGAGUGGCGGACGGGUGAGUAAUGCAUCGGAACGUACCCAGAGGUGGGGGAUAACGCAGCGAAAGCUGUGCUAAUACCGCAGGUGAUCUGAGGAUGAAAGCGGGGGACCGAGCAGCAAUGUUUGGCCUCGCGCCUUUGGAGCGGCCGAUGUCGGAUUAGCUAGUUGGUGGGGUAAAGGCCUACCAAGGCGACGAUCCGUAGCUGGUCUGAGAGGACGACCAGCCACACUGGGACUGAGACACGGCCCAGACUCCUACGGGAGGCAGCAGUGGGGAAUUUUGGACAAUGGGCGCAAGCCUGAUCCAGCAAUGCCGCGUGCGGGAAGAAGGCCUUCGGGUUGUAAACCGCUUUUGGCAGGAACGAAACGGUGUCCGCUAAUACCGGGCGCUAAUGACGGUACCUGCAGAAUAAGCACCGGCUAACUACGUG
rnacentral:rRNA from 1 species